rnacentral:rRNA from 1 species
CUGAUGGCGACCGGCGCACGGGUGAGUAACACGUAUCCAACCUGCCGUCUACUCUUGGCCAGCCUUCUGAAAGGAAGAUUAAUCCAGGAUGGGAUCAUGAGUUCACAUGUCCGCAUGAUUAAAGGUAUUUUCCGGUAGACGAUGGGGGAUGCGUUCCAUUAGAUAGUAGGCGGGGUAACGGCCCACCUAGCUCAACGAUGGAUAGGGGUUCUGAGAGGAAGGUCCCCCACAUUGGAACUGAGACACGGUCCAAACUCCUACGGGAGGGCAGCAGUGAGGAAUAUUGGUCAAUGGGCGAUGGCCUGAACCAGCCCAAAGUAGCGUGAAGGAUGACUGCCCUAUGGGUUGUAAACUUCUUUUAUAAAGGAAUAAAGUCGGGUAUGCAUACCCGUUUGCAUGUACUUUAUGAAUAAGGAUCGGCUAACUCCGUGCCAGCAGCCGCGGUAAUACGGAGGAUCCGAGCGUUAUUCCGGAUUUAUUGGGUUUAAAGGGAGCGUAGAUGGAUGUUUAAGUCAGUUGUGAAAGUUUGCGGCUCAACCGUAAAAUUGCAGUUGAUACUGGAUGUCUUGAGUGCAGUUGAGGCAGGCGGAAUUCGUGGUGUAG